rnacentral:sRNA from 1 species
GAUACCAGGGGUUCAGGUCUGCAGCCAUAUGCGCUUGCGCAUGAGUGGAUGCAGGACCUUGAACCCCGCCCACAACAUGAGCAUAAAAGUGGGAUUUCAAUCUCACGAUAUGCGAAUGAUGGGGGGAGGAUUGUGAGAGUGCACAGCACGGAACAAUCCGUGGGUAUC